rnacentral:tRNA from 3 species
GCCCGGGUGGUGAAAUCGGUAGACACAAGGGAUUUAAAAUCCCUCGGCUUUUUUAGCCGUGCGAGUUCAAGUCUCGCCCCGGGCACCA